GGAGGGUGGCUCAGUGGUAAGAGCAUCUGCUUAGUAAGCAGAUGGUCCCAGGUUCAAUCCCCGGCAUCUCCA